GGGGAUUUUGCUCUCUACGCCAACAAACCAACCACGACAGCCUGAAACAGGCUGGGGAUGCUUCGAGGGCAUUUGAGGGAUUUCUCUACUUUGGAGGCACCAGGGGGUGCAAGUCUGAGAAGAUACAGCAAGUUCUAAGCCAGUUUCAGAAAGAACUGAUGCAAUCAGACCCAAUCUCCGACCCCGAUUUUUAAACAAAACCAGCUGAGGCAGUGACUCUGGUCAGCUCUGAAAACCCGACAUGCUUCUGCCAUUGCUAUAACUUAUGAGAAACUUUCAUAUUGGAGCCU